rnacentral:misc_RNA from 1 species
UUUCCGUAGGUGAACCUGCGGAAGGAUCAUUCAUAAUAAAGUGUUUUAUGGCACUUUUUAAAAAUCCAUAUCCACCUUGUGUGCAAUGUUAGAUCUCGUCAAUCUUGGCGAGAUUUUUAUACAUCAACUCAUUCUUUAACUAAUUUGUCUGAAAAAUAUGAUGAAUACUUAAUUCAAAAUACAACUUUCAACAACGGAUCUCUUGGAUCUC